rnacentral:sRNA from 1 species
CCUCCCCCCUUUCCCAAGGACAAUCUGCAAGAAAGCAGCGGCGGAGGAGAGCUAAGACUAAAAGAGUGGAUCAUGACCCAUGAAGAGCACCAUGCAGCCAAAACCCUGGGGAUUGGCAAAGCCAUUGCCGUCUUAACCUCUGGUGGAGAUGCCCAAGGUAUGAAUGCUGCUGUCAGGGCUGUGGUUCGAGUUGGUAUCUUCACCGGUGCCCGUGUCUUCUUUGUCCAUGAGGGUUAUCAAGGCCUGGUGGAUGGUGGAGAUCACAUCAAGGAAGCCACCUGGGAGAGCGUUUCAAUGAUGCUUCAGCUGGGAGGCACGGUGAUUGGAAGUGCCCGGUGCAAGGACUUUCGGGAACGAGAAGGACGACUCCGAGCUGCCUACAACCUGGUGAAGCGUGGGAUCACCAAUCUCUGUGUCAUUGGGGGUGAUGGCAGCCUCACUGGGGCUGACACUUUCCGUUCUGAGUGGAGUGACUUGUUGAGUGACCUCCAGAAAGCAGGUAAGAUCACAGAUGAGGAGGCUACGAAAUCCAGCUACCUGAACAUUGUGGGCCUGGUUGGGUCAAUUGACAAUGACUUCUGUGGCACCGAUAUGACCAUUGGCACUGACUCUGCCCUGCACCGGAUCAUAGAAAUUGUAGAUGCCAUCACUACCACUGCCCAGAGCCACCAGAGGACAUUUGUGUUGGAAGUAAUGGGCCGCCACUGUGGAUACCUGGCCCUUGUCACCUCUCUGUCCUGUGGGGCCGACUGGGUUUUUAUUCCUGAAUGUCCACCAGAUGACGACUGGGAGGAACACCUUUGUCGCCGACUCAGCGAGACAAGGACCCGUGGUUCUCGUCUCAACAUCAUCAUUGUGGCUGAGGGUGCAAUUGACAAGAAUGGAAAACCAAUCACCUCAGAAGACAUCAAGAAUGUUCGUAUGAAUGAAGCCAGAGAGGUCUUAGACUCCAUAGCCCAUACCCUUCUGGCUUCUGAGUCUCCUGACACUGCUUCUCCCCUUGGUCCUUCUGCACGUCUUCCUGGGUCCCUGUCCCUGGUUGCCUCCCACAGAGAACCAUUACAAGACAAGAGGCUGAGCUGUCCAUGGUUUACCCAAGUCUCUGCUUGUUUUCUUCCUUUGACUCUGCGUAACCCUCUCUCUGUCCCUCUCUUGGUCCCUUCAGCUGGUGGUUAAGCGUCUGGGAUAUGACACCCGGGUUACUGUCUUGGGGCAUGUGCAGAGGGGUGGGACGCCAUCAGCCUUUGACAGAAUUCUGGGCAGCAGGAUGGGUGUGGAAGCAGUGAUGGCACUUUUGGAGGGGACCCCAGAUACCCCAGCCUGUGUAGUGAGCCUCUCUGGUAACCAGGCUGUGCGCCUGCCCCUCAUGGAAUGUGUCCAGGUGACCAAAGAUGUGACCAAGGCCAUGGAUGAGAAGAAAUUUGAUGAAGCCCUGAAGCUGAGAGGCCGGAGCUUCAUGAACAACUGGGAGGUGUACAAGCUUCUAGCUCAUGUCAGACCCCCGGUAUCUAAGAGUGGUUCGCACACAGUGGCUGUGAUGAACGUGGGGGCUCCGGCUGCAGGCAUGAAUGCUGCUGUUCGCUCCACCGUGAGGAUUGGCCUUAUCCAGGGCAACCGAGUGCUCGUUGUCCAUGAUGGUUUCGAGGGCCUGGCCAAGGGGCAGAUAGAGGAAGCUGGCUGGAGCUAUGUUGGGGGCUGGACUGGCCAAGGUGGCUCCAAACUUGGGACUAAAAGGACUCUACCCAAGAAGAGCUUUGAACAGAUCAGUGCCAAUAUAACUAAGUUUAACAUUCAGGGCCUUGUCAUCAUUGGGGGCUUUGAGGCUUACACAGGGGGCCUGGAACUGAUGGAGGGCAGGAAGCAGUUUGAUGAGCUCUGCAUCCCAUUUGUGGUCAUUCCUGCUACAGUCUCCAACAAUGUCCCUGGCUCAGACUUCAGCGUUGGGGCUGACACAGCACUCAAUACUAUCUGCACGACCUGUGACCGCAUCAAGCAGUCAGCAGCUGGCACCAAGCGUCGGGUGUUUAUCAUUGAGACUAUGGGUGGCUACUGUGGCUACCUGGCCACCAUGGCUGGACUGGCAGCUGGGGCCGAUGCUGCCUACAUUUUUGAGGAGCCCUUCACCAUUCGAGAUCUGCAGGCAAAUGUUGAACAUCUGGUGCAAAAGAUGAAAACAACUGUGAAAAGGGGCUUGGUGUUAAGGAAUGAAAAGUGUAAUGAGAACUAUACCACUGACUUCAUUUUCAACCUGUACUCUGAGGAGGGGAAGGGCAUCUUCGACAGCAGGAAGAAUGUGCUUGGUCACAUGCAGCAGGGUGGGAGCCCAACCCCAUUUGAUAGGAAUUUUGCCACUAAGAUGGGCGCCAAGGCUAUGAACUGGAUGUCUGGGAAAAUCAAAGAGAGUUACCGUAAUGGGCGGAUCUUUGCCAAUACUCCAGAUUCGGGCUGUGUUCUGGGGAUGCGUAAGAGGGCUCUGGUCUUCCAACCAGUGACUGAGCUGAAGGACCAGACAGAUUUUGAGCAUCGAAUCCCCAAGGAACAGUGGUGGCUGAAACUGAGGCCCAUCCUCAAAAUCCUAGCCAAGUACGAGAUUGACUUGGACACUUCAGACCAUGCCCACCUGGAGCACAUCACCCGGAAGCGGUCCGGGGAAGCUGCUGUCUAAACCUCUCUGGAGUGAGGGGAAUAGAUUACCUGAUCAUAGUCAGCUCACCCCCUGAUAAGUCCACAUCUUCUCAGUGUUUUAGCUGUUUUUUUCAUUAGGUUUCCUUUUAUUCUGUACCUUGCAGCCAUGAUCAGUUCUGGCCAGGAGCUGGAGGAGCGGGCAGUGGGUGGGAGCUCCUUUCAGGUAGAAUUUAACAUGACUUCUGCCCCAGCUUUAUCUGUCACACUAGGCUGGGCACCUCUAGUGCUACUGCUAGAUAUCACUUACUCAGAAUUUUCCUAAAAAUAAGCUUUAUUUAUUUCUUUGUGAUAACAAAGAGUCUUGGUUCCUCUACUACUUUUACUACAGUGACAAAUUGUAACUACACUAAUAAAUGCCAACUGGUCACUGUG